CCCUGGCCCGCGUGUGUGCAGGGCGGUGCAGAGGCAGCAUGUGCCUGUAGCGCUCUCUAGAUAUAGGAGCACGUGGCUUGUGUGGUAGUAGUAGUGAUUGCAGUAGGAGGUGGUGCCGGUGGUGGUGUUUUGUAUGAUGGUUCUUGACAGACUGCACGGCUGCUGCUCGGUGGGUGAGAUAAUAGUUGCACAUCCAAUUAAUAUGAUUCUCAUUUAUGUGCUAUUUAUUAAUCAAUGAUUUAUACUUCUUGUUGGCUAAUUGCUGUUGGCUCACUGCACUACGGUUGGGUUCUAGCCACGUUAUAAGGUGUUGAGACAUUUGAUGAGUAGUAUAUUCAAUGAUCCUUGGCGAUAAUUGGCUAAGCUAACAUGCAACUGCUAUCUCACCUCAAUCUGAAACUAUUAGAAACUGCAUGCAUAAGGAAUGAUGGUAGAGUGCUUAAUGGUGCACGCGGCAGUAGUUUUAUUUUCUGAUCUUCCCCAAUCUGCUAUCCCUCAACAUUGUUGUAUUAUUUUGUUCCGGUCACACUCAAUUACUGUUUCCUCAUAUGCAUGCAUGAGACAUGACUGAAAUGCACACUUAACCAUUUGUCAAACACAUUUUUAAAGAACACAAAUCAAAGGCGUGAAAGUUCUUCUCAAGCCUUAUCAAGGCGGGCUGGUCCAAGGCGGGGCCAUAUCAAGGCAGGGUGGUUCAAGGUGGGGUGGUUCAAGGCGGGGCCUUAUCAAGGCGGGCUGGUCCAAGGCGGGUCCUUAUCAAGGUAGGGUGGUUCAAGGUGGGGCCUUAUCAAGGUGGGGUGGUUCAAGGCGGGGCCUUAUCAAGGCGGGCUGGUCCAAGGCGGGUCCUUAUCAAGGCAGGGUGGGUCAAGGCAGGGUGAUUAAAGGCAAGGUGGUUUAAGGCGGGGCCUUUUCAAGGCGGGGCUGUACAAGGCAGGGCGCGUCAAGGCGGGGGUGUUCAAGGCGGAAGGUUCAAGGUGGAAGGUUCGAGGCAGGUUGGUUCAAGGCGGGGCUGUUGCAUGUUUAUUCCCCCUCGCCUUCCGUAUAAAACGUUGAAGCUCUGAAUUUGAGGGCAUUUUUGUUCCGCCUUUAAGUGAGCAGCAGGCUUAUCCGAAUUGAGAGUUAAAGGAGUGAACCAGCAUGGUGGGGUGGGGGGGGGACAUUCUGAUGACGUGUUGUAUGUAUGACCUGCCACUGGGAAAUUGAACUGAAGAACCCAGAGACUAGUGAACGACUGUCCACAGUGUCUUAGGUCUGCCGCGCACCUUUCUGCCUGCAACCGCACACUGCUUUUCUCCAAGUUCUCCAUCCACGGGUUUCUGAUUGCAGAAACACGUUGCUCGCACGUUGCUUCCGCCAUUGUUGCAUCGCACAUCAACAUAUUGUACAUGAUGCACAGCGACUUUGCUUGCUUUUUGAAGUGUGGUAUGAAUGUGCAUUGCUAGCACUUGCACCUCACCACUCGGUUCACACUCGAUGUUCACAGUCUGUCCUGUUGUUUAGAGGUAAUGUCGUUAAACGUCACGCCUCUGAUUCUGGAGGAAAAAAAACAGAACAAUGAAGGACCUUCUUUAUGGCAGUUGCUGGAUCUUUGUGUAAGGGACUGCUCCACAUAA